rnacentral:rRNA from 1 species
GUGCUUACACAUGCAAGUCGAACGAUGAACCCAGCUUGCUGGGUGGAUUAGUGGCGAACGGGUGAGUAACACGUGAGUAACCUGCCCCCGACUCUGGGAUAAGCCCGGGAAACUGGGUCUAAUACCGGAUAUGACCUCGCACCGCAUGGUGCGGGGUGGAAAGAUUUAUCGGUGGGGGAUGGACUCGCGGCCUAUCAGCUUGUUGGUGAGGUAAUGGCUCACCAAGGCGACGACGGGUAGCCGGCCUGAGAGGGUGACCGGCCACACUGGGACUGAGACACGGCCCAGACUCCUACGGGAGGCAGCAGUGGGGAAUAUUGCACAAUGGGCGCAAGCCUGAUGCAGCGACGCCGCGUGAGGGAUGACGGCCUUCGGGUUGUAAACCUCUUUCAGUAGGGAAGAAGCGAAAGUGACGGUACCUGCAGAAGAAGCGCCGGCUAACUACGUGCCAGCAGCCGCGGUAAUACGUAGGGCGCAAGCGUUAUCCGGAUUUAUUGGGCGUAAAGAGCUCGUAAGCGGUUUGUCGCGUCUGCCGUGAAAGUCCGAGGCUCAACCUCGGAUCUGCGGUGGGUACGGGCAGACUAGAGUGAUGUAGGGGAGACUGGAAUUCCUGGUGUAACGGUGAAAUGCGCANAUAUNAGGAGGAACACCCGAUGGCCAAAGGCAGGUCUCUGGGGCAUUUUCUGACNCUGANGANCGAAACAUGGGGAACCGAACAGGAUUAAAUACCCUGGUAGUCCCCCUGUAAAA